GCCAGCAGGAAGGAGAGGUGGCGGGGCGCGCGGUGUGAGGCCCGCCCGUCGCCCGGUGGGAUUCCAACAUGGCGGCGAGGAGAGGUGGAGGCGGGUCUGCUGGCUGCUCCGUGGCGCCACUCUGCCUGCAAGGAGCGUCGUGGUGCCAAAGGGCAGCGGGAUGUGAUGACAGCCUUGACCCAUAUUCGCCUUGAGAACCUUCAACCUCAACACAAGGCAAGCAGUUCAGGCACGCCACCCUGGGUGAGGCAACCACUGUGUCUAAGCGCCUCCUUCAGCGUCUCCCAGGAGCGGCGGCUGUGGGAGCUUGUGGCUUUGGCGAGGGAGGGAGCCUGACUGCAUACGUGAGGAGCAGGGGCCCCGCCAGGGAGGGAGCUGCAGUUUGGUGGCCACGCUACGAAGUGCAGUGUCACUAAGCACACAUGAUUUAUGCACCGUCCCGCAACAAAACAAGGAGAGGGAACUCAUUGCAUAUGAAUGGAACGCUCUCUGCACGCUGAGGAAAGGCAAGAUUGGAGGCAGCACAUCCAAUACCACGCCCACGAAGCAACAGCAACAGGCGGCCUGGAGAGGAGCAAGGGAGAGGGAGGACGGAGGAUGCAGCGACAGACAAGAAGGAAGGAAAGAAUGAUUAACAAGAGAAUACACGCGAUUAAUCCUAUAAGAUAGUCUAUACUUUAAAAUGUUAAGAGAAUAGCAAAGUUUUGAUAACCACCACUCAUGACCGCUGGAAAGAAGUGUCUUCGUUCACAUGUGUGGAUUCCGAUGCUUGGGUGAGUGAUCUAUUAUAAUCAUACAUGCUUACUUCAACGUCACUUGCGCAGCUCUGAUGUGAGUUUACUAGUUUAAUCUAACAUGCAUGGAAGGAAAAUUGGAUUGACAUAAAUAUACACAAAUAAUGUACUUGCCUCUA